rnacentral:rRNA from 1 species
AUGGGAACGCGAAGAACCUUACCUACUCUUGACAUCCAGAGAACUUUCCAGAGAUGGAUUGGUGCCUUCGGGAACUCUGAGACAGGUGCUGCAUGGCUGUCGUCAGCUCGUGUUGUGAAAUGUUGGGUUAAGUCCCGCAACGAGCGCAACCCGUUAUCCUUUGUUGCCAGCGGUCCGGCCGGGAACUCAAAGGAGACUGCCAGUGAUAAACUGGAGAAGGUGGGGAUGACGUCAAGUCAUCAUGGCCCUUACGAGUAGGGCUACACACGUGCUACAAUGGCGCAUACAAAGAGAAGCGACCUCGCGAGAGCAAGCGGACCUCAUAAAAGUGCGUCGUAGUCCGGAUUGGAGUCUGCAACUCGACUCCAUGAAGUCGGAAUCGCUAGUAAUCGUAGAUCAGAAUG